rnacentral:rRNA from 1 species
GUUAGCCGAUGCUUAUUCUUCAGGUACACGUCAUUUAUUCCUCCCUGAAAAAAAGAGGUUUACGACCCAUAGGCAGUCUUCCCUCACGCGGUAUUGCUCCGUCAGGCUUUCGCCCAUUGCGGAAAAAUUCCCC